rnacentral:rRNA from 1 species
UACGAAGGGGGCUAGCGUUGCUCGGAAUCACUGGGCGUAAAGCGCACGUAGGCGGCUUUUUAAGUCAGGGGUGAAAUCCUGGAGCUCAACUCCAGAACUGCCUUUGAUACUGAGAGCUUGAGUCCGGGGAGAGGGUGAAGUGGAACUGCGAGUGUAGAGGUGAAAUUCGUAGAUAUUCGCAAGAACACCAGUGGCGAAGGCGGCUCACUGGCCCGGUACUGACGCUGAGGUGCG